UACCAGCACCCCGAGUGGUCGGGACGUUUAUUGGGCCUAAAGCAUCCGUAGCCGGUUCUACAAGUCUUCCGUUAAAUCCACCUGCUCAACCGAUGGGCUGCGGAAGAUACUAUGGAGCUAGGAGGCGGGAGAGGCAAGCGGUACUCGAUGGGUAGGGGUAAAAUCCGUUGAUCCAUUGAAGACCACCAGUGGCGAAGGCGGCUUGCCAGAACGCGCUCGACGGUGAGGGAUGAAAGCUGGGGGAGCAAACCGG
rnacentral:rRNA from 1 species